CCUGCGGAAGGAUCAUUAGAAGGGCCUGUACUAUGCUUCUUUGCAAGCUUAGAUUUACAAUUCCAAACCCCUCUCCGUGUACCUUUCCUGUUGCUUCCGUGGGGUCACGGGCUGUCCGUGUUGGGUAGCCUUAACCUGUACUCAGUAUUUUGGUUAGGGUUUCCUGCGGAGGCAGUCCUAGUUGGUCAUCUGCAGUGAACCUGGAGUGGCCAGCCCCCGCGUAAUGAAACCAUUUGAAUUUUUGUUGGCUUUUGUCUGAAUUAUAUAACAAUUGUUAAAACUUUCAACAACGGAUCUCUUGGUUCUUGCAUCGAUGAAGAACGCAGCGAAAUGCGAUAAGUAGUGUGAAUUGCAGAAUUCAGUGAAUCAUCGAAUCUUUGAACGCACAUUGCGCCUUCUGGUAUUCCGGGAGGCAUGCCUGUCUGAGCGUCUAGAGUCCCCGCUCAAGCUCUUUUGCUUGGUUGUGGAGGUUGAGCGUUGUCUACGUGCUCGUUCACCUUUGAAAUUCAUCGGCGUACUUCUCCGUGUUCCAAUUAGCGUAAUAGGUUAACUCUUUCGCUUGGACUCGUGAAGCUGUCCCGUCGUAAUUACCCCCAUUACUUUUUGGACGACCUCAGAUCAGGUAGGGAUACCCGCUGAACUUAAGCAUAUCAAUAAGCGGAGGAAAAGAAAC
rnacentral:rRNA from 1 species